rnacentral:rRNA from 1 species
ACUCAAAUGAAUUGACGGGGACCUGCACAACCAGUGGAGCAUGUGGUUUAAUUCGAAACGAAACGAAGUACCUUACCCAGGUUUGACAUGCUAUCGUACAUUUCUCCAGAAACGGAGAGAAAUCCGCAAGGAUGAUAGCACAGGUGUUGCAUGGCCGUCGUAAGCUCGUGUCGUGGGAUGUUCCCUUCAGUGGGGUAACGAGCGAAACCUCUGUCAUAUAUUAAAUAUCUAUAUGAGACUACCCACCUAUGGUGGGAGGAAGCGGAGACGACGUCAGGUCAGCAUGGCCCUUAUGUCUGGGGCUACACACAUGCUACAAUGGAGCCGACAAUGGGUUGCCAAGCCGUAAGGCGGAGCUAAUCCCAUCAAACGGCUUCUCAGUGGGGAUUGGGGGCUGCAACUCGCCCCCAUGAACUUGGAAUUGGUAGUAAUCGGAGGUCAGCUAUACUCCGGUGAAUACGUUCUCAGGUCUUGCACACACCGCCCGU